UUUUUUGACGAGGAUUAUUGUUUUCUGUUUUUGGUUCCCAAAGUCCUCCUCUGAAAACAGAUCCGCACUAUGUAAGGUCAUGCAUCUAGGUAAACCAUCAUGUUCUUAUUUAUAGGUUUCCAUUAAUAAUCAUCACGUCUAAAAAGUUUCCUAGAUUUUUCGGAUCAUCAUUACUCUCAGAAAAGCUAAAAGCGACUAGAUUUUUUGAUCAUCCGGUCUAGAUUUAAUCUCGCUGAACAUGACAUUUUUGGUUUGCAGAUUAUAUAUUGUAUGGACUUCCUCUUCAUGUAUUAUUCGAUGUCGAGCUCGACAAAGUGUAGCAUUGAACUGGUGCAUAUGUGUCUAUGAAAUUUGGAGCAGGUACAUGAAUUUUACUUGGCAUAAAGAUUUCAGAUUGCUGCAGAUUGUUCCCUCUUUGUUUUUCUGCCCUUUGCUUUAUAUACUGAAGCUUUGGAUAUUUUUAUAAUCAUAGGUUGAGUCUGUUCACGUUUUGUUUGACCUUUUGCAGGAUAUCAGGUAAGUAUCCUCCCCACAGAAAGAAACAUGUAGCUAUAUGAUAUAUGAAAGAAAGCACAUUACGUGCUCCCCUUUUUUACAAACAUUUCUUAAUAGAAAGAGUUAAGGAAAUUGGUUAAUCAUAGUUUAUUGGCUGAACCGAUUAAGAUGAUUUGUUAAAACAAUGUCCAAGCAUAGAAGAAUCAUCCUCUGUUGAUCAUGUCCUUUAACCUUUCUUCUGUAAUGUGGCACGCUACGAAUGUCCAUAGUGAGAUAGCUGCUUUUUCUUAGUAGUUGCCUAGAUAUUUUAAUUAAUUACAUGAAGCGAAUUUUGCUUUGGUUCCCCAUAAAUAUAGCUGAUGUAUCCAUCUAUUUGAUUUUCUGCAUUUUUUUGAUCUUUUGGUUCAGGAGAGAUAGGAAAAUAUCAGAAUUGAGUUGUUUCCUGAAGUAAAUUAGCCAGCGGGCCUCACCCUGCGUUCCUGAAGUAGUUGAUAGUACUUUCAAACUUGCUUAGAUAGUAUUUUAUUGAGAUUUAGAUAUACCUUUUGAGUCUCAGUUAUCAAAUGAGUGAUUUAUUUAUUUUACUGUUCGUAAGGAAUGAUAACUUUGGCCUAUUAAAAUUUUGAAGUGUUCACCAUAGAUUUCUUAAUUCAUUCAUGCUAGCAUAAUAUAUUAUGUUUCUAACUAUGAACACUAAUUGUUCUCUGGUUUCGUCUUUACCCGUGAACGAUAUAACAAGACAUGUCGAUUCCUAUGUUUUGCAUCUAUACCACUCUGUUUACAGUAACAUUACAAAAAUUGUUGGUAUCCCUUUCCUAUUAUCACCUAACUAUUGUAAUAAUUGGAAGUCUACUUAUGUUUCUAAUAGUUUUCGACAGGAAAAUCAAGGCUGAGCUUUUGAUUACAUUUAGGUUCAAGAAAAAAAGUUCUCCCUCCGAUCCAUAUAUUGUACAUAAGUACAAAGUUUCUGGCACUUAUUAUUGAUCGGAGGGAGUAACUGAUUCAUUAAUAUGUGGAAAUACACUGGAAUGUAUGCCUUAAUAUAUGCAAUCAUUGGUAUUUGUUUCUAUUUUUUUAUAACUUAGUAGUUCCUAGCUAGCUUUAUAUGGCACAUGCAAUAGUAGUACUGCUAACUAUGCAAUCAUUAAUAUUUGUUUCUAUUCUCUUAUAUUUUUAUCAUAUAAUUGAGAGCGUAGUUUUUGGCAUGUCUCUGAAUUCAUUAAUAUUUCAUCGAAGGCUUCUUCAGAUGGCAUGAUCUCUGAAUUCUGUACUGAUAAAAAGUCUUUGUAUUCUAUGUGUUUAAAUAUAUGCUUUGGUCUGGCUAAAGAAAUGAAUAUGCUGGGAACUUAUGAAGCUGGAAUAAUUAUACUUGUACAUGGGCUUCUACCAUUUGACCAAUUGCCUGCCUAAUUUUUGUUCUCAUAUUUUGUUCAACCGAAUCCUGGUGAGUAACAUGGUACCUUUCUACAGACCCCUAUUUCUUGAUUGGAUUGCAGUGAAAGAAUUAUUAUGCAGUUCUUAGAGAAUUAAUGUAUUAUUUAAAUUCAAUGGACACAUUUUAGUAAAUUGAGCAUAUCUUGAUCGUUGUUGUUGCAAGUGGCUUGGUGAGAAAAGAUAGAUAAUGUAGGGCGGUUAUAUGCUUGCCUGACAUGCACACAUAUGCAUGGUGCAGAUGCCCAAGCAGAUGCACGCCAAUGUGCCUCUUUCUAUUGAUUUUUUUAUAAAAUAUAUUUAUCCUUAAAAAGGAACAAAUAUGGUACUUUGUUCUGUUACUUUGUUACUCUCUAUUGUAGUAAAUUAUAUAUAAAAAUUGCAAAAGGUUCAGUUGGCAGAAAAACUUGCAUUUUAUUUUUUUGAAAUUAAUUGAAUAUGAAACCAACUACUCAGAUGCGUCCAUUCUAUAUUUAUUAUGGGGGUCUUUCAUUUUGCUUCUAAUGGCUGCUUGCCAGCUAAUAGAAAUAAUAUUUUUGUUGUUGUUUUCCCAUAUCAUGAAGUUGAGCUUUAUCGAAUUGUUUGCGUGCCAAAUUUUCUUCUUCAGUUGUACUUGUGAUUGUAGUGUGCGCACAUCUUACCCGGGAAUUGGGACUAAUUGGUCUCGCUAUAAAGAGUAUACAACAGCAAUUCAAAUGCAAUCCCUGUGAUAUAACAAGGUACAUCACAUUGCUUCUAUUUUCCAGGUUUUGUUGCUUCGACCGGAAGAUGUCUACCUUUUAAACGUGCAUUGUGCAAAGAACUCUAGCUAGCUUGUUUAUGCUUCUCAGAGAUUACGCUGGAGUUCAACAUCAAUGAGCAUAUACAUGGUAUCGAUCUUUACUAGGAUGUGGUGUUGUGUCGAGGUACUGGUAGCGGCGCAGGAUACAGGGAACGUGAGAAGAGGCAGCACUGGGUGAGUCCUCGCUGCAACCAACCAGGGUUACUCUAUCCACGGUGAUCUUUGUUGGAUAAGCUGAAUCACCUACUGUGAUCUUUGUUGGAACCACUGUCCGGCUUGCGGAGGCACCGUGUGUGUUCGUCGGUCAGAUCCUGGCAGCGCGUGGGAGUAGAUAGACUUAGCAAAAGCAAGGAAUCCACGGCAGCGUCCAUAUC